AACGCUGGCGGCAUGCCUUACACAUGCAAGUCGAACGGCAGCAUGGAAGAGCUUGCUCUUCUGAUGGCGAGUGGCGAACGGGUGAGUAAAGCAUCGGAACGUACCGUGUAAUGGGGGAUAACGUAGCGAAAGUUACGCUAAUACCGCAUACGACCUGAGGGUGAAAGCAGGGGAUCGCAAGACCUUGCGUUAUACGAGCGGCCGAUGUCAGAUUAGCUAGUUGGUAGGGUAAAGGCCUACCAAGGCGACGAUCUGUAGCGGGUCUGAGAGGAUGAUCAGUCACACUGGAACUGAGACACGGUCCAGACUCCUACGGGAGGCAGCAGUGGGGAAUAUUGGACAAUGGGCGAAAGCCUGAUCCAGCCAUGCCGCGUGUGUGAAGAAGGUCUUCGGAUUGUAAAGCACUUUAAGUUGGGAGGAAGGGCAGUAAGCUAAUACCUUGCUGUUUUGACGUUACCGACAGAAUAAGCACCGGCUAACUCUGUG
rnacentral:rRNA from 1 species